rnacentral:rRNA from 1 species
GUGAAAACUUGGGGCUCAACCUUAAGCUUGCAGGCGAUACGGGCGGACUAGAGUACUUCAGGGAGACUGGAAUUCCUGGUGUAGCGGUGAAAUGCGCAGAUAUCAGGAGGAACACCGGUGGCGAAGGCGGGUCUCUGGGAAGUAACUGACGCUGAGAAGCGAAAGCAUGGGUAGCAAACAGGAUUAGAUACCCUGGUAGUCCAUGCCGUAAACGGUGGGUACUAGGUGUGGGGCUCCUUCCACGGACUCCGUGCCGUAGCUAACGCAUUAAGUACCCCGCCUGGGGAGUACGGCCGCAAGGCUAAAACUCAAAGAAAUUGACGGGGGCCCGCACAAGCGGCGGAGCAUGUGGAUUAAUUCGAUGCAACGCGAAGAACCUUACCUGGGUUUGACAUACACCGGAAACCUGCAGAGAUGUAGGCCCCCUUGUGGUCGGUGUACAGGUGGUGCAUGGCUGUCGUCAGCUCGUGUCGUGAGAUGUUGGGUUAAGUCCCGCAACGAGCGCAACCCUUAUCUUAUGUUGCCAGCGCGUAAUGGCGGGGACUCGUGAGAGACUGCCGGGGUCAACUCGGAGGAAGGUGGGGACGACGUCAAGUCAUCAUGCCCCUUAUGUCCAGGGCUUCACACAUGCUACAAUGGCCGGUACAGAGGGCUGCGAUACCGCGAGGUGGAGCGAAUCCCUUAAAGCCGGUCUCAGUUCGGAUCGGGGUCUGCAACUCGACCCCGUGAAGUUGGAGUCGCUAGUAAUCGCAGAUCAGCAACGCUGCGGUGAAUACGUUCCCGGGCCUUGUACACACCGCCCGUCACGUCAUGAAAGUCGGUAACACCCGAAGCCGGUGGCCUAACCCCUUGUGGGAGGGAGCCGUCGAAGGUGGGAUCGGCGAUGGACGAAGUCGA